rnacentral:rRNA from 2 species
CAUGGUUAAGUGGGAAACGAUGUGGGAAGGCCCAGACAGCCAGGAUGUUGGCUUAGAAGCAGCCAUCAUUUAAAGAAAGCGUAAUAGCUCACUGGUCGAGUCGGCCUGCGCGGAAGAUGUAACGGGGCUAAACCAUGCACCGAAGCUGCGGCAGCGACGCUUAUGCGUUGUUGGGUAGGGGAGCGUUCUGUAAGCCUGUGAAGGUGUGCUGUGAGGUAUGCUGGAGGUAUCAGAAGUGCGAAUGCUGACAUAAGUAACGAUAAAGCGGGUGAAAAGCCCGCUCGCCGGAAGACCAAGGGUUCCUGUCCAACGUUAAUCGGGGCAGGGUGAGUCGACCCCUAAGGCGAGGCCGAAAGGCGUAGUCGAUGGGAAACAGGUUAAUAUUCCUGUACUUGGUGUUACUGCGAAGGGGGGACGGAGAAGGCUAUGUUGGCCGGGCGACGGUUGUCCCGGUUUAAGCGUGUAGGCUGGUUUUCCAGGCAAAUCCGGAAAAUCAAGGCCGAGGCGUGAUGACGAGGCACUACGGUGCUGAAGCAACAAAUGCCCUGCUUCCAGGAAAAGCCUCUAAGCAUCAGGUAACAUCAAAUCGUACCCCAAACCGACACAGGUGGUCAGGUAGAGAAUACCAAGGCGCUUGAGAGAACUCGGGUGAAGGAACUAGGCAAAAUGGUGCCGUAACUUCGGGAGAAGGCACGCUGAUACGUAGGUGAAGCGACUUGCUCGUGGAGCUGAAAUCAGUCGAAGAUACCAGCUGGCUGCAACUGUUUAUUAAAAACACAGCACUGUGCAAACACGAAAGUGGACGUAUACGGUGUGACGCCUGCCCGGUGCCGGAAGGUUAAUUGAUGGGGUUAGCGCAAGCGAAGCUCUUGAUCGAAGCCCCGGUAAACGGCGGCCGUAACUAUAACGGUCCUAAGGUAGCGAAAUUCCUUGUCGGGUAAGUUCCGACCUGCACGAAUGGCGUAAUGAUGGCCAGGCUGUCUCCACCCGAGACUCAGUGAAAUUGAACUCGCUGUGAAGAUGCAGUGUACCCGCGGCAAGACGGAAAGACCCCGUGAACCUUUACUAUAGCUUGACACUGAACAUUGAGCCUUGAUGUGUAGGAUAGGUGGGAGGCUUUGAAGUGUGGACGCCAGUCUGCAUGGAGCCGACCUUGAAAUACCACCCUUUAAUGUUUGAUGUUCUAACGUGGACCCGUGAUCCGGGUUGCGGACAGUGUCUGGUGGGUAGUUUGACUGGGGCGGUCUCCUCCUAAAGAGUAACGGAGGAGCACGAAGGUUGGCUAAUCCUGGUCGGACAUCAGGAGGUUAGUGCAAUGGCAUAAGCCAGCUUGACUGCGAGCGUGACGGCGCGAGCAGGUGCGAAAGCAGGUCAUAGUGAUCCGGUGGUUCUGAAUGGAAGGGCCAUCGCUCAACGGAUAAAAGGUACUCCGGGGAUAACAGGCUGAUACCGCCCAAGAGUUCAUAUCGACGGCGGUGUUUGGCACCUCGAUGUCGGCUCAUCACAUCCUGGGGCUGAAGUAGGUCCCAAGGGUAUGGCUGUUCGCCAUUUAAAGUGGUACGCGAGCUGGGUUUAGAACGUCGUGAGACAGUUCGGUCCCUAUCUGCCGUGGGCGCUGGAGAACUGAGGGGGGCUGCUCCUAGUACGAGAGGACCGGAGUGGACGCAUCACUGGUGUUCGGGUUGUCAUGCCAAUGGCACUGCCCGGUAGCUAAAUGCGGAAGAGAUAAGUGCUGAAAGCAUCUAAGCACGAAACUUGCCCCGAGAUGAGUUCUCCCUGACCCUUUAAGGGUCCUGAAGGAACGUUGAAGACGACGACGUUGAUAGGCCGGGUGUGUAAGCGCAGCGAUGCGUUGAGCUAACCGGUACUAAUGAACCGUGAGGCUUAACCUUACAACGCCGAAG